CACAAUACUGCACAGUACUCCAAGCGUGCGAGCGGAUGCGAAUGGAAAUGCUAUAACGGGAACUGAUAGCAUAGCUGUUUUAUUGAGGCUUCAAAAGUUGGAUCUAAAGCCUACGAGUACGAACAAUCAAAAUGGCAUUUUGGUGCUGUAGAAAGAGGGGACGAAUGACAAGUUUGUGGUUAAAACUACUUGCAGCGUCCAUAAUAUUUGUGAGCAUAUAUUUCUUGGCCGGAGUUGGUCUCCGGGGUGAGAGAAAAUAUGAUAUUGUCAGAAGUUUUAUGUCUUUCGAACGAAGCAGUGAAGAUAAAAGGAAAUAUAUCAGUAACUUACUCAAAUUGCGUGGACCAUGGUUGGAUGCGAGUAGAAGUAACACAGCAGGAUCUGGAUGCGUUCAUCCAAAUUUACCACUCUGGACUGACCAACUUAAGAACUAUUUCAAACCGUGCGUUCCCGUGAAAUGUUCUGACGAUGUGAACUGGGUUUAUACAGAUAGUGGACGGUUUUAUAUUUCUUCGCAAGCCGAAAAGGUUGUAGGGAAAAUUGAAUGCGAGUUAACGCCGAUAGUAAACGAUGAAGACAACACUAAAUAUCUGGAAACAAUUAAAGAUGUUAAAAACGGAUCUGGUCUUGUAACGGAUACAUUUAAAUCCUCGUGUACAUCCUCAAGUGGAAAAAGUUACACAAAUAUUCAUGUCGGCAUUGCUGGAAGAAGCAAAACGAACGAACAACAGAAGCCCCCAAAUGCAAAAUACAAUGUAUUUAUGUACGGUUUCGAUUCAAUGUCGAGGAACAUGGUGAAACGAUUUUUACCUAAAACCCACGAAUUCUUUGUUAACGAGUUGGGAGGUCACAUUCUUAAUGAAUAUAACAUCGUUGGAGACGGUACCCCUCAAGCGUUAAUGCCGAUCUUGACCGGAAGAAAGGAGACGGAAAUCCCCGAAGUGCGACGAGGGCACACGAAUGCUAAGCCGGUUGAUGAAAUAUUGGAAUUCGUUUGGAAACGGUUCGAGAAACGAGGAUAUGUGACACAGUGGGGUGAGGAUAUGUCCUAUAUAGGGACAUUUACAUACAGAAUGCUUGGAUUUAAAGAACAGCCUGUUCACCAUUAUAUGAGACCAUAUCAAGUAGAAAUUGAAAAGCUUAAUAACAAGCGACAUUGUCACGGGAACAAGGGAACGCACACAGUUUUUCUUGAUUGGUUGAUGGAAUCGCUGAGAACUAACUUAGGCCUUCCGAUAUUUUCGUUUGGAUUCUUUUCGGAUUACACUCAUGAUGGAAGCGAGUGUGUGGGUCUAAUAGACGAUGGUAACGUGGCGAUGUUUAAAUACAUGAAAUCAUUAAAUCUCUUCAAGAACACGUUCAUAAUAUUGAUGAGUGAUCAUGGUGCAAGGUUCGGAGCGCUGAGACAAACCGAGCAAGGAAAGCUGGAGGAACGUAUGCCUUACUUCGGUAUAUUUGUUCCACCCGAUUUUCGAAAAGACCAUCCGAACAAGUACACCAAUUUUCUUGAAAGUGUUGAUCGCUUGACCACUCCUUUUGAUAUUUACGAGACACUUUUGGACAUUCUUGAAGAGACGAACACGUUUGAGCCAACCGACAGGAAAUCAUAUUCCCUCUUUUCCAAGAUCCCCAAACAGCGAAGCUGUUCUGAUGCUGGCAUCGAACCACACUGGUGUGCUUGCCUUAAUUGGCAAAACGUAUCCACGUCUGACAGCAUCGUGGCUGCACUCGCUGAACAUAUUGUUGAGUCAUUCAACAAGAUGCUUGCUAACUUCUCUCAUCUCUGCCACAAGCUUAUACUUCAACAGGUUAUUACGGCAGUUCAGUUGAUAUCCAAUGAUCAUGUAUUGAAAUUCAAACAAAGUAAGGACAAUGACGGGCGUAUUGCUGAUUUUUCUGAUAAUACAAAAUCUGAAUUACAGUAUUUCCAACUGAAAUUUGAAACGAUGCCUGGUGAAGGACGUUUCGAGGCUACCGUGUCAAUUGAUGUGAAGACUGGCAAAAUAUUUGUAGGAAAAUAUGAUAUCAGCAGAAUAAAUAAAUAUAACGACGCUCCGAAAUGCAUUGCUGACAAACAUCCUGAGCUACGGCCGUAUUGUGUUUGCAUUUAGUUUUGCAUAAAUGUAACGUUUUGCAACAUAUCAAAUACCAUGUAUUGCAAAAAGUAAACGUCGCUAUAAUCACCUACAAUCUAUCUGGGCAUAUUUGAGUGUGCUAUCGACUUAUCUUUUCAUGUGUUAAAGGGUCCUUUUCACAGAUUUUGGAAGAUAUUGAAGUUUGCAAUUAAAUGCUUUAUAUUAACAAAUGUAAACAUUGGAUCUAAGAAGCUCCAUUAAAAAAACACAAGAAUAAGAUAAAGAAAGUAAAAGAGUAACCCUCAACUGGAUCGAACCACUGACCUCUGGAGUAAAACUCUAACACUUGGACCACUCGGCCAUGCUUAUACAAUGAGUGAUGUAUUUUAUACUUUAUAAAAGCAAUCCUCGUAGUGUCACAAAACAUAACGAUUUAUAAUUUUCAGGUUUUUGAAUUGGCAAAAGAUGCAGAUAAUGGAUAUUUAUGAGCAUGGUAAAUGUUUAGUAUUACUGUUUCCUCAUAAAUAUCACAACUACAACGAAAAUUUGAGAACCUGAAACACUUUUUUUUUAUUUUGUCAAUUUAUCAAAACGUGAAAAAGCCCCUUUAAAUCAGCGUUGAUAAUGUCUGAAGAGUUUUUUCUGAUAACAUUUUGCAGAUUGAGAGUGUUCGCUUUUUUAACUUAUGCAGCGUUUUGGAUAAACUAGUGUCUAGCAAAACCAUCGUCGAUUUAAGCCACACACCUUGCCUCUGACUUUGAAAUGAAAUACAUGUUAAUCAAUACAUAUAGAUGCAGUUUGAAAGUGUGCAAAAUUGUCAUUAAAAUUAUAGCCUAGUUAGCAAGUAAUUUAUUAUUUUUCAAACGGUACCGCUUUUAAAACCGAAGGUAGGAUUUCUAGACGUACUCGUCCAUUUCGACAAACGCGAUUAGUUUUAAAGCGCAAAAAGACGGAUUUAUACCUUGUAACCACCAGAUAUAUUCUAAUUGGCAUAGAUAACAUAUGUUUCUUAUUUAUACUUAAAUUUACAAUGCCAAAUAAGGUGUGUGGCUUUAUCUUAUAGAUGAACAUGUUGGUUAUUUACACUCAGGCUUGAUAUUUCUGUUUCAGAUAAGGUCAUAAAUUCGUUUCUUUUUAAUAUGUUGGUAGUGUUUGCAUUGAGAGAAUUACGUUAGUGUUAAGAUUUGAGUAUAUAUUAAUAAAUGUAUUUUUAUAAGACCACUGCAAAAGUUGUCAGCCUAGAAAGGAAUUAUGAUAAUGGCAAUACUUUUAUUUAGUGAAAAGUUAAUAAAUUGACAUGUAAUAGACAUUUAUAGCAUAAGCAUUAUUUUUGCAUAUAUAUGUAAAUCAACAGUAUACAUUUGUGUGAAUUCGUUUUAUUUUUCUAUGUACUUACGGGCGUAAGCUGAUGCGUCAAUGUCUUUUAAAUUGUUUAUGUUAUCUUUUUGCAUUAGUUCUUUUAGGUUGUUAUGAAUUAAAUACUAUUUUUGUACUCAGAGCCUGAUUAUGUACAACUGUUAUAAGUGGAUUUCGUUAUCUCAUUGACAUUUGGUUUGUCUUUUCCCUGUCCUUGGCUUUCCUUCUUGCAUAAACUUCAAUUCGAACGAAAACUUCUAAAACGCUGAUAAGAUUUUCAUAAAACUUCUUAUCAACAAGCAAAUUCGUUGAAUCGCCAAGUUUCCUUAACUGUCAUUUAUAAGAAACGAUUCUCAUGUCUGCUGUUGAGUGAUGUUCAUUUUAUUUUGAUUUCGUGGUUUUAAGGAAGCAAGUGUGAAUAUGGAAUAUUACUGACAACGUAGGAUGGUACUCGCGGUAUACAGGAAUGUCGCGUGAUUUACAAGGUUGUACAAUGCCGCACUGGGCUUCAAGUGUGCGAGCGUAUGCGGAUGGAAAUGCGAUAAAGGGAACUAAUAGCUGUUUUAUCGAGGCUUCAAAAGUUGGAUCUAAAGCCUAACAGGUACGAACAAUCGAAAUGGCAUUUUGGUGCUGUAGAAUGAGAGGACGAAUGACACGUUUUUGGUUAAAACUAUUUGCAGCGUUCAUAAUAUUUGUGAGCAUAUAUUUCUUGGUAGGAGUUGGUGAGAGAAAAUAUGAUGUUGUCAGAAGUUUUAUGUCUUUCGAACGAAGCAGUGAAGAUAAAGGGAAAUAUAUCAGUAACUUACUAAAAUUGCGUGGACGAUUGUUCAAUGCGAGUAGAAGUAACACCACAGGAUCUGGAUGCGUUUACCACUCUGGACUGACCAACUUAAGAACUUUUUCAAACCGUGCGUUCCCGUGAAAUGUUCUGACGAUGUGAACUGGGUAUAUACAGAUAGUGGACGGUUUUAUAUUUCUUCGAAAGCCGAAAAGGUUGUAGGGAAAAUUGAAUGUGAGUUAACGCCGAUAGUAAACGAUGAAGACAAUACUACAUAUCUGGAAAUAAUAAAAGAUGUUAAAAACGGAUCUGGUAUUGUAACGGAUACAUUUAAAGCCUCGUGUAAAUCUUUAAGUGGAAAAAGGUACACAAAUAUUCAUGUCGGCAUCGCUAGAAGAACCAAAGCGCACGAACCACAGAAGCCCCCAAAUGCAAAAUAUAAUGUAUUUAUGUACGGUUUCGAUUCAAUGUCGAGAAACAUGGUGAAACGAUUUUUACCUAAAACCCACGAGUUCUUUGUUAACGAGUUAGGAGGUCACAUUCUUAAUGAGUACAACAUCGUUGGAGACGGCACACCUCAAGCGUUAAUGCCAAUCUUGACCGGAAGAAAGGAAACAGAAAUCCCCGAAGUGCGACGAGUGCACACGAAUGCUAAGCCCGUUGAUGAAAUAUUGGAGUUCGUUUGGAAACGGUUCGAGAAACGAGGAUAUGUGACACAGUGGGGCGAGGAUAUGUCCUAUAUAGGGACAUUUACAUACAGAAUGCUUGGAUUUAAAGAACAGCCUGUUCACCAUUAUAUGAGACCAUAUCAAGUAGAAAUUGAAAAGCUUAAUUACAAGCGACAUUGUCACGGGAACAAGGGAACUCACACAGUUUUUCUUGAUUGGUUGAUGGAAUCGCUGAGAACUAACUUAGGCCUUCCGAUAUUUUCGUUUGGAUUCUUUUCGGACUACACUUAUGACGGAAGCGAGUGUGUGGGUCUAAUAGACGAUGGAAACGUGGCGAUGUUUAAAUACAUGAAAUCAUUAAAUCUCUUCAAGAACACGUUCUUAAUAUUGAUGAGUGAUCAUGGUGCAAGGUUCGGAGCGCUAAGACAAACCGAGCAAGGAAAGCUGGAGGAACGUAUGCCUUACUUCGGUAUAUUUGUUCCACCCGAUUUUCGAAAAGACCAUCCGAACAAGUACACAAAUUUUCUUGAAAAUGUUGAUCGCCUGACCACUCCUUUUGAUAUUUACGAGACACUUUUGGACAUUCUUGAAGAGACGAACACGUUUGAGCCAACGGAUAGGAAAUCCUAUUCCCUGUUUUCCAAGAUCCCCAAUGAGCGAAGCUGUUCUGAUGCUGGCAUCGAACCACACUGGUGUGCUUGCCUUAAUUGGCAAAACGUAUCCACGUCUGACAGCAACGUGGAUGCACUCGCCAAACAUGUUGUUGACUCAUUCAACAAGAUGCUUGCUAACUUCUCGCAUCUCUGUCAUAAGCUUAAACUUCAACAGGUUAUUACGGCGGUUCAGUUGAUAUCUAAUGAUCAUGUAUUGAAAUUCAAACAAAGUAAGGACAACGACGGGCGUAUUGCUGAUUUUUCUGAUAACACAAAAUCUGAAUUACAGUAUUUCCAACUGAAAUUUGAAACGAUACCUGGUGAAGGACGUUUCGAGGCUACAGUGUCAAUUGAUGUGAAGACUGGCAAAAUAUUUGUAGCAGAAUAAAUAAAUAUAACGACACUCCGAAAUGCAUUGCUGACAAACAUCCUGAGCUACGGCCGUAUUGUGUUUGCAUUUAGUUUUGUAUAAAUGUAAUGUUGUAACAUAUCAAAUACCAUGUAUGGCAAACAGUAAACAUCGCUUUAAUCACCUACAA